rnacentral:lncRNA from 1 species
UAAGCAAAAGUAGCAAGAAAUCGGUGAAAGUAUAUAUUGUUCUUAGUAAAUAAUGAUUAGGAACCCCCUUUAUAUAAUAGGAGAAUCCUAAAUAAGGUACACUUCUAAUCAUAGUAGGAAAUCAUAUUAAUGUCUAAUUAACCCGCUAUAAAUUGAUCCAUUCCGAGGUUUACGCCACGAUCAUGUACCAAUUGUGGAUAUCCCGCCUUUUCCGUUAUCCAGCUAUGACGAUGCCACUCGAGGUCUGCCUCUUUCUCUUUGCAAUCGAUGUCUACUCUGAUCCGGACUCAACGUCCCAGCUCUUUGACAUGAUGUUCCUAUCCCGAUCAAAGAGUAAAAUUUGGUAGCUCUGAUUUCUACUGUAUACAUGAUGUUUAGUUGUUCUA